AGCAGCCGCGGUAAUUCCAGCUCCAAUAGCGUAUAUUAAAGUUGUUGCAGUUAAAAAGCUCGUAGUUGAAUUUCGGGAUCAGUACGCUGGUCGUGCCUCCGGUAUGUACUGGUGUCACUGAUUCCUCCCUUCUGACGAACUAUCAUGCCAUUAAUUUGGUGUGGUGGGGAAUCAGGACUGUUACUUUGAAAAAUUAGAGUGUUUAAAGCAGGCUCACGCUUGAAUACAUUAGCAUGGAAUAAUGAAAUAGGACGUUGAUCCUAUUUUGUUGGUUUCUAGGAUUGACGUAAUGAUUAAUAGGGAUAGUUGGGGGCAUUAGUAUUCAAUUGUCAGAGGUGAAAUUCUUGGAUUUAUUGAAGACUAACUACUGCGAAAGCAUUUGCCAAGGAUGUUUUCAUUAAUCAAGAACGAAAUUAGGGGAUCGAAGACGAUCAGAUACCGUCGUAGUCUUAACCAUAAACUAUGCCGACUAGGGAUCGGAUGAUGUAAUUUUUAAUGA
rnacentral:rRNA from 1 species